UACGAAGGGUGCAAGCGUUACUCGGAAUUACUGGGCGUAAAGCGUGCGUAGGCGGUUUGUUAAGUCUGUCGUGAAAGCCCUGGGCUCAACCUGGGAAUUGCGAUGGAUACUGGCAAGCUAGAGUACGGUAGAGGAUGGUGGAAUUCCCGGUGUAGCGGUGAAAUGCGUAGAGAUCGGGAGGAACACCCGUGGCGAAGGCGGCCAUCUGGACCAGUACUGACGCUGAGGCACGAAAGCAUGGGGAGCAAACAGG
rnacentral:rRNA from 1 species